GCGCCGCCUCGAAGAGAAUGAUGCUGGCGGACGACGUCCCAUGGCGGGCGUCUCCCGCCGGCAAGAAGCCCGUCCCCAGAAUUCACCACAACCCUGUCCUCCGCCUCCCUCAAAGCCCUAAUUCCUCCUACGCCCUCGCCGUUAUGAAGCAUCAGGAUCCGAUCGGUGAGGGGCUCGCCAUGGAGGCGAAGCUGGAGGCGGCGGGGCCGGACUGCAUUGUGCCCGGACAGGUUGCCCCGGUGAAGCUGCUCGGAUUGAAGGUAUGGCCUAUCGAUGUUAACUUUGGUUUUGUGGAACCCGUGGGCCGGCAACUGCAGUCUAUCGGAAAG
rnacentral:misc_RNA from 1 species